AUUGAACGCUGGCGGCAGGCCUAACACAUGCAAGUCGAGCGGAGCGGCGGACGGGUGAGUAAUGCCUAGGAAUCUGCCUGGUAGUGGGGGGUAACGUCCGGAAACGGGCGCUAAUACCGCAUACUAUCAGAUUAGCCUAGGUCGGAUAAGCUAGUUGGGGGGGUAAAGGCCUACCAAGGCGACGAUCCGUAACUGGUCUGAGGGGAUGAUCAGUCAAACUGGAACUGAGACACGGUCCAGACUCCAACGGGAGGCAGCAGUGGGGAAUAUUGGACAAUGGGCAAAAGCCUGAUCCAGCCAUGCCGCGUGGGUGAAGAAGGUCUUCGGAUUGUAAAGCACUUUAAGUUGGGAGGCGGUACCAACAGAAUAAGCACCGGCUAACUUCGUGCCAGCAGCCGCGGUAAUUC
rnacentral:rRNA from 1 species